rnacentral:misc_RNA from 1 species
UCCGGAUUAGAUACCCUGGUAGUCCUAGCCGUAAACGAUGGGUGCUAGGUGUGGGGCGGCGAUUGACCCGCUCUGUGCCGACGCUAACGCAUUAAGCACCCCGCCUGGGGAGUACGGCCGCAAGGCUAAAACUCAAAGGAAUUGACGGGGGCCCGCACAAGCGGCGGAGCAUGUGGCUUAAUUCGACGCAACGCGAAGAACCUUACCAGGGCUUGACAUGCGGGGUGAAACCGUGGAAACACGGUGCUCCUUCGGGAGCCCGCACAGGUGCUGCACGGCUGUCGUCAGCUCGUGCCGUGAGGUGUUGCCUUAAGUGGCGCAACGAGCGCAACCCCUGUUCCAUGUUGCCAGCGAGUAAUGUCGGGGACUCAUGGGAGACUGCCGGUGCCAAACCGGAGGA